ensembl:lncRNA
AGGACAUCUUCCUGACCCAGGGAUCAAACCUACGUCUCCUGUCUCUCCUGCACUGGCAGUUAACUGAAUCAGGAAUCCAACCCUGCCCCCUGCCCUGGAAGCACGGCGUCCCAACUACUGGAUCACCAUGGAAGUCCCUACCAACACCAUUUUUAUUCAACAUUCUAUUGGACCAAAAAUAGUGAAGAUAUUCUUGAAGAAGACCUGGACAAAAAAAGAAAGCGAAAGUAAUAUCCAAGUUACAGUAAUGAAGACAUGUUAUUAGCAGCAGGCAGAAAACCAGACCCUGUGAAUAGAAUGACAGUACCGA